UGGGCGGCAGGUAGCCUAGUGGUUAGAGGAGGCAGGUAGCCUAGUGGUUAGAGGAGGCAGGUAGCCUAGUGGUUAGAGGAGGCAGGUAGCCUAGUGGUUAGAGGAGGCAGGUAGCCUAGUGGUUAGAGGAGGCAGGUAGCCUAGUGGUUAGAGGAGGCAGGUAGCCUAGUGGUUAGAGGAGGCAGGUAGCCUAGUGGUUAGAGGAGGCAGGUAGCCUAGUGGUUAGAGGAGGCAGGUAGCCUAGUGGUUAGAGGAGGCAGGUAGCCUAGUGGUUAGAGGAGGCAGGUAGCCUAGUGGUUAGAGGAGGCAGGUAGCCUAGUGGUUAGAGGAGGCAGGUAGCCUAGUGGUUAGAGGAGGCAGGUAGCCUUGUGGUUAGAGGAGGCAGGUAGCCUUGUGGUUAGAGGAGGCAGGUAGCCUAGUGGUUAGAGGAGGCAGGUAGCCUAGUGGUUAGAGGAGGCAGGUAGCCUAGUGGUUAGAGGAGGCAGGUAGCCUAGUGGUUAGAGGAGGCAGGUAGCCUAGUGGUUAGAGGAGGCAGGUAGCCUAGUGGUUAGAGGAGGCAGGUAGCCUAGUGGUUAGAGGAGGCAGGUAGCCUAGUGGUUAGAGGAGGCAGGUAGCCUUGUGGUUAGAGGAGGCAGGUAGCCUAGUGGUUAGAGGAGGCAGGUAGCCUAGUGGUUAGAGGAGGCAGGUAGCCUAGUGGUUAGAGGAGGCAGGUAGCCUAGUGGUUAGAGGAGGCAGGUAGCCUAGUGGUUAGAGGAGGCAGGUAGCCUAGUGGUUAGAGGAGGCAGGUAGCCUCGUGGUAAGAGGAGGCAGGUAGCCUCGU